rnacentral:rRNA from 1 species
CUGUGAGCUCGAUGAGUAGGGCGGGACACGUGGUAUCCUGUCUGAAUAUGGGGGGACCAUCCUCCAAGGCUAAAUACUCCUGACUGACCGAUAGUGAACCAGUACCGUGAGGGAAAGGCGAAAAGAACCCCGGCGAGGGGAGUGAAAAAGAACCUGAAACCGUGUACGUACAAGCAGUGGGAGCCUCUUAAUGGGGUGACUGCGUACCUUUUGUAUAAUGGGUCAGCGACUUAUAUUCUGUAGCAAGGUUAACCGAAUAGGGGAGCCGAAGGGAAACCGAGUCUUAACUGGGCGUUAAGUUGCAGGGUAUAGACCCGAAACCCGGUGAUCUAGCCAUGGGCAGGUUGAAGGUUGGGUAACACUAACUGGAGGACCGAACCGACUAAUGUUGAAAAAUUAGCGGAUGACUUGUGGCUGGGGGUGAAAGGCCAAUCAAACCGGGAGAUAGCUGGUUCUCCCCGAAAGCUAUUUAGGUAGCGCCUCGUGAAUUCAUCUCCGGGGGUAGAGCACUGUUUCGGCAAGGGGGUCAUCCCGACUUACCAACCCGAUGCAAACUGCGAAUACCGGAGAAUGUUAUCACGGGAGACACACGGCGGGUGCUAACGUCCGUCGUGAAGAGGGAAACAACCCAGACCGCCAGCUAAGGUCCCAAAGUCAUGGUUAAGUGGGAAACGAUGUGGGAAGGCCCAGACAGCCAGGAUGUUGGCUUAGAAGCAGCCAUCAUUUAAAGAAAGCGUAAUAGCUCACUGGUCGAGUCGGCCUGCGCGGAAGAUGUAACGGGGCUAAACCAUGCACCGAAGCUGCGGCAGCGACACUAUGUGUUGUUGGGUAGGGGAGCGUUCUGUAAGCCUGUGAAGGUGUACUGUGAGGUAUGCUGGAGGUAUCAGAAGUGCGAAUGCUGACAUAAGUAACGAUAAAGCGGGUGAAAAGCCCGCUCGCCGGAAGACCAAGGGUUCCUGUCCAACGUUAAUCGGGGCAGGGUGAGUCGACCCCUAAGGCGAGGCCGAAAGGCGUAGUCGAUGGGAAACAGGUUAAUAUUCCUGUACUUGGUGUUACUGCGAAGGGGGGACGGAGAAGGCUAUGUUGGCCGGGCGACGGUUGUCCCGGUUUAAGCGUGUAGGCUGGUUUUCCAGGCAAAUCCGGAAAAUCAAGGCUGAGGCGUGAUGACGAGGCACUACGGUGCUGAAGCAACAAAUGCCCUGCUUCCAGGAAAAGCCUCUAAGCAUCAGGUAACAUCAAAUCGUACCCCAAACCGACACAGGUGGUCAGGUAGAGAAUACCAAGGCGCUUGAGAGAACUCGGGUGAAGGAACUAGGCAAAAUGGUGCCGUAACUUCGGGAGAAGGCACGCUGAUAUGUAGGUGAAG